GAUGAACGCUGGCGGCGUGCCUAAUACAUGCAAGUCGAGCGAACGGACGAGAAGCUUGCUUCUCUGAUGUUAGCGGCGGACGGGUGAGUAACACGUGGAUAACCUACCUAUAAGACUGGGAUAACUUCGGGAAACCGGAGCUAAUACCGGAUGAUAUUUUGAACCGCAUGGUUCAAAAGUGAAAGACGGUCUUGCUGUCACUUAUAGAUGGAUCCGCGCUGCAUUAGCUAGUUGGUAAGGUAACGGCUUACCAAGGCAACGAUGCAUAGCCGACCUGAGAGGGUGAACGGCCAAACGGGAACUGAGACACGGUCCAGACUCCUACGGGAGGCAGCAGUAGGGAAUCUUCCGCAAUGGGCGAAAGCCUGACGGAGCAACGCCGCGUGAGUGAUGAAGGUCUUCGGAUCGUAAAACUCUGUUAUUAGGGAAGAACAUAUGUGUAAGUAACUGUGCACAUCUUGACGGUACCUAAUCAGAAAGCCACGGCUAACUACGUG
rnacentral:rRNA from 1 species